GUUGAACGCUGGCGGCGUGCCUAAUACAUGCAAGUCGAGCGGAUGGACGGGAAGUUCGCCUCGCUGAAGUUACCGGCGGACGGGUGAGUCAUACGUGGAUACCCUACCUUUAAGACUGGCGUCACUUCGGGAAACCGGAUCCAACACCGGUCGAUAUUUUGAACGGCAUGGUUCAUAAGACAAAGACGGUUUUGCUGUCACUAAGACAUGGUUCCACGCUGCAUUAGCUAGUUGGUAGGGUAACGGCUUACCAAGGCAACGAUGCGUAGCUGACCUGAGAGGAUGAUCAGCCACACUGGAACUGAGACACGGUCCAGACUCCUACGGGAGGCAGCAGUGGGGAAUAUUGGGCAAUGGGCGAAAGCCUGACGGAGCCAUGCCGCGUGUGUGAUGAAGGUCUUCGGAUCGUAAAACUCUGUUAUUAGGGAAGAACGGAAGUGUGUGUAAAUGUGGACGUCUUGACGGUACCUAAUGAAAAAGCACCGGCUAACUACGUG
rnacentral:rRNA from 1 species